rnacentral:rRNA from 1 species
UGGGUAGUCCGCACGAGCGCACCCUUGUUUUUAGUUGCCAUCAUUUAGUUGGGGACUCUAAAAAGACUGCCGGUGACAAACCGGAGGAAGGUGAGGAUGACGUCAAGUCAGCAUGCCCUUUAUGUUCUGGGCUACACACGUGCUACAAUGACUAUGACAAAGAGCGGCAAAUUUGUAAAAAUAAGCAAAUCUCGUAAACAUAGUCUCAGUUCGGAUUGUAGGCUGAAACUCGCCUAUAUGAAGGUGGAAUCGCUAGUAAUCGCCGGUCAGCUAUACGGCGGUGAAUCCGUUCCCGGGCCUU